rnacentral:rRNA from 1 species
GACGAACGCUGGCGGCGUGCUUAACACAUGCAAGUCGAGCGGUAAGGGCCCUUUCGGGGGUACACGAGCGGCGAACGGGUGAGUAACACGUGGGUGACCUGCCCUCAGCUCUGGGAUAAGCCCGGGAAACUGGGUCUAAUACCGGAUAUGACUCCACGGUGCAUGUCGUGGGGUGGAAAGCCUUGUGCGGCUGAGGAUGGGCCCGCGGCCUAUCAGCUUGUUGGUGGGGUGAUGGCCACCAAGGCGACGACGGGUAGCCGGCCUGAGAGGCGACCGGCCACACUGGGGACUGAGACACGGCCCAGACUCCUACGGGAGGCAGCAGUGGGGAAUCUUGCGCAAUGGGCGAAAGCCUGACGCAGCGACGCCGCGUGAGGGAUGACGGCCUGUGUA